AGCAAAAAAUAAUGUAAUAUGCCUCGAUGUAAUUAUUGAAAAUGUGUAAAAAGUCCGAUGUAACCGUCUUUUUAGAUGUACAAUCACAUCGAUUCGAUGCUAAUUUACAUCUUCCCCAAAAUUACACCAAAAUAAAGUAUCAACUUUUCUUUGCAUCGCAUUCGUGUAACAUUCACAUCGAAAAAAUGUGAUUAUUACACAGAAUGAGCUGCAACCAAGUGGUUGCGAUGGAGUUGUGUAGCAUUACACAAAGUCGAUGUCAUAUCGCAUCUUUUAAUGAUGCGAUAAUACAUCUCGCAACACUGCCAGCUUUGUUGUGAUCGGCCAAGCGCGAGGCAAGUGAGCGUCCAUUUUUAAGUUUUCGGUGGAGGAGUAAAAGGGUUUCGCCUGGAAUUUGUUCGUUUUCGAAGGGUAAUUCAACGUGAAGCGGAGUUCCGGGCAUCAAAAUUGAAACUUUAUCGCCGUCGAUCUGGAAGCUCAGCUCAAUUUGGUGCUCUCUGACGAAUCAGCUUCUCCCCGGUGGCUAAACCAGGAACACCUAUUUCGAGCUAGCUAGUUGGCCAAGUGUGUUACCAGCUGCGGCAAAUAUACGGUCCAAAUCACCCUCAAAACCCACAUGCCAACAUAACAACCACCACAUGAACCACCAAGACUAAGGGCGACAGAUGCCGGUUCCGAGGUCGAUGUCAACCACCGACUCCUCACCAUCGUCGCUGGUUGCAAUUUGACUAUGGUCCAGCGUGCCGUAUCUCCAGCACCACCGCCAUCAACGUGAUCUGGUUCAGCCAGUAAUGAAUACGAUCCGGACGACGAUCGAAAGACGACGGAAAAUGAUCCGGAAGAUCGUCAGCGGGAGACUUGGACGAAAACGAAUUUUGCGAGGAGUUGGCCGCUCUGAAGGGUUUCAGAAAAGUUAGCGUGAACUCCGGAAAAGGCGGACAAUGAUGCAGUAUGACUAUACAGCCGUCUUCAAGUCAGUGUUCCCUUUACACUGUCGGCGUCGGGAUUAGCGCGGAACCAGAGAAGCAGCUCGAGGAGCCGUAUAGCCGAAGUGGCAAACACACGGGCAUUCAGCGGUCCACGAUCUCAUCGUAAUAGAAAUGCGAAAGAUUAUUGACUUUCUUAGGUGUAGAUGAUCGUCGUAUCUGCCAUAUAAUAAACAAAUUUAAAAUGUUUAGUUAUUGAAAAGCACUCACUAGUUUGAAAAUGAAAAUGCUAUUUAUUGUGCAGGCUCUGACCUAGCUGUCCUGAAAGAAGACAACAAGAACCUAGUCAGAAGUGUAAUAACAAAUUACUAAAUAAAUACACAAUUAAUUCUGGUUCAAACUUAGUUUAUCUAUACGCUAUUGUUUCCUCUUCUGUGGCUGAUUAAAUUAUGUUAUUAUCCUUUCUCGAUUUUAGUUUAGUGUAGCUCUAGUGCUUCCUUCAGCUACACGUAAAUCUGAUCGAAAAGGGAUGAAAAUGUAAUUUAAUCUGCCAUCGAAGAGCAUUUCAAAUCGUUUCCAUUUUACAUCGCUUCAAUUACGUUGUAUAUGUGUACGUCGGAAUUAUUACAUCGCGCAAAUUACAUCGGAUCUGUUUAUUACAUCCAAAGCCUUCGUGUACAUCGGGCUGUGUAAUAUUCAUCGAUCGAUGUAACGACCUGGUUGCAGCGAUUUCGAUGUAAUAUUCAACAACUUUUUUAACUGUGUAUGUUGCUAACAAACACAUUCGAGACGAACGCAUUGAUACGGUGGCUGCCGCCGCCACGCUCUUUCUCUGCAAAUCUCUUGAGUAGCCGAACGCUUCUUAAGAGUCGUUCCGACGCAGAGCUAUGUCACUCACUGCUGGGUGACUCUCGUCUGAAAAUGCCAGGAUGAAGGUCAAUUUGUUAAGUAGUAUUGCAUGGCGCAGCAAACACAAACAUAGCACGCCCUAUGAAUAGAAUGCAAAGCGUAGAAUAAAAACUCGCUUCGGUGUUUCAUCGUGUGGUUCGAAAACAAGAGACGAUCGCUGCUGUUGGAUGUGGUUGACUCUGCAUUGAACGAGGGUUGGCUUGAGUGGCUUUUGCGUGAAUCGAUUAUGUUUUGAUGGUCUGCGUUUGUCGUAUGAAGUGAUGGUUAGAGAGAGUGUCAUUCGACAUUGACCAUCCUGAAACUGCACAACCCUGGUAAUGGUACACUUUUCAACUAUUUUUUUCAGUACAAAUCAAAAGACGAUUGUUUUGACCAUCGUUCAAUGCAAGGAGACAAUCAUAAUACAAAUAAACAGCUGCGAUAUUAACGAAAGAGAGGGAAAGCAAAGAGAGCCUCUCUUCUGCAGAUUGGACCAUUAGACAUGUUUGGCCUGAAAACGAGGUAUGGUGUGGCUUCGUCAUAUCUACAAUAUCCACUUAUCCGCGAGCGGUAAUGGCGGCGGCGGGCAAAUCCAACCGGUUCGGAUUUUGACGUUUCUUGGGGGAAAGUCAAAACAGUUUCAUUCUCCUCCUCACCCCUUCACCCACCGUUUGGUGGCGCCAACCGUUUGCGAUCCCCAAGAAACGUCAAAAUUCGAAUCGGUUAUUUGUGCCCGCCGCCGCCAUUACCGCUCGCGGAUCGAGGGGGGCGACACAGCUAAAUCCUCCUACAGAUGUCGACGAAGAUGCAUCUACUUUUUUAGAUAGGUGUGCCACUGUGAGAUUUUUCUAUCUACUUUGCACUGCAUCCAACUUCAAAUCCUGCCGAGCGCUGCUUCGAGAUAGAAGGAGAUGUUAAUGGAUAGGACAUAGAUGUUCGAAGGCUAGUCCAGAACAGAAUGUGAAAAGGGUCUAAUUGAUUUUUACAAUGAAAUACGUUUUGGAUAAUUAAAAUCUGAUUCGACUAUAUUUUCGCAAAUACGCCCUAAGAAUGAUUCAAUAUUUAUCCAAGCGCUUAUCUAUCUUUUAUUUCAGCUUCAUUGCAUAGGUAAUUAUAUCAGAAUAGCUAAAAAAUGUUUGAGUUUAAGUUGGUGCAAUCAAAUACCUAGUUAGGCUCUUUUCACAUAGUGUUAUAGGAUCAAACUCGGGAUCAAAUGUAAAUAUCCCUAAUAGAAAAAUAUGAUACAACGUGCUUAACAACCCUUUCGGGCUAUCCUCGGGGCUAUCAUCUUAAUCAUACAGGGAAUGAUACAAUCAUUCACCCUAUCAGCAGUAUAUAAUACAUUUUUAUUAGGGAUAACUUAAUAAAACCUAGAAAUAACGUCGCAGGUAAUAAGAAGUUUCAUUAAAAUUUAAGAAUUUAUUCGAUUAUAUUUGUUAACGUUACUUACUUUUCAGAAAUUUGAAAGAUGCUUUUCUAGAGCCAGCAGUAGAUCCUCUACAAUCGUGGCCAUCAUCCAGGGGGCAUCCUCUUCCUCCAGCCGUAAGAGCAGAGAGACGACAAUUACCUCAAUUCCAUGGAAGUAGCAAAUGUUCGGAUAUAGUCAGGCAUUUCCCCGCAGAUUCCAGAAUUUCGGUGCUAAUCUGCGACCUGGAACAAACUUUGGUCGACAUGACACGGAACAGGUCGUUUUCGAAUCUCGAUUUGCUUCGAGAUCAUCAAAGCAUUAUUAUUCGGAAGUCCUUUGCGAUUUAAGCCGGAAGGACGUUUUCCGAUUUGAGCUUCUGUAGUGCCCUCAAAAGCCUCAUCCACAUCAGCGGACGCAUCGAAUGAGGAAUCCCCUCCCAGACCAUAUUAAUCAGCUUUUAUGACCGUUUAAACAUCACGCUGUCCCAAGUCAGCUCAGUUGCUUCCUUAUUAGAGAGAACUCCAUAUGGGAAAACUACUGCAAACGCUGGGCCAGAGCCCAAGUAAACGGAAUGCUAAAAACGCUCAAGAACAUAAUUGAAAUAAACUAGGAAUCCGAGCAAAUUUUGUCUUA